rnacentral:misc_RNA from 1 species
AAGUUCUGAACCUCUUCUGUGGG